rnacentral:sRNA from 1 species
GUGCUCCUGGAAGUGUCUUCGUUGUGCUGCUGGCGGCGUCAGAUAGGGCUGGAUCUAAAUCGCUAGCCAAGGCUCUGUCCUAGUACCUUUGGGUGUGUUUCCUUUAAGAAGAUGCAGCACCUGGACUGCGACCUGUGGCUCCAGCUGGAACUUUCCAGUCUGGGUCUCCGGCCAGUGUGGCCGUGCACCCAGUGUGUGCUUCUGGGGAACGGAGUGGCUAUGAAUCUGCAUCUAAAGACUUUGUCCCUCAUGACUUGGAGGUCCAGGUUCCUGGAAGAGUCUUUUUGGUCACUGGAGGAAACAGCGGCAUUGGCAAAGCAACUGCCCUUGAAAUCGCCAAGCGAGGUGGCACAGUUCACCUGGUUUGUCGAGAUCAAGCCCGAGCAGAAGAUGCCAGGGGUGAGAUCAUCCAGGAGAGCGGUAACCAGAACAUUUUUCUGCACAUUGUGGACUUGUCUGAUCCCAAGCAAAUCUGGAAAUUUGUUGAAAAUUUCAAGCAGGAACAUAAACUCCAUGUUCUGAUCAAUAAUGCAGGUUGCAUGGUCAAUAAAAGAGAGCUCACAGAAGAUGGACUUGAAAAAAACUUUGCUA